rnacentral:lncRNA from 1 species
AAGUAUUUGAAAGGAAGAUCACCUUUAACAUAACCAAGAAGAUUGAGGAUAUGAUGUUGAUUUUCAAUUGCAACCCCCCCAAAAUACACUGCACUUUUAUUUAGGUUAGCCUUCAGCCCAGUAGCAGCUAGGAAUUGAGAGAAGAAAUGAAACAUAGCACUUACUUAUUGAGUUUCCCCUUUGACAAAUAAUAACAAAUCAUCUGCAAAGCUCAAAUGAGUGAUUCCCAN